rnacentral:rRNA from 1 species
GACGAACGCUGGCGGCGUGCUUAACACAUGCAAGUCGAACGGAAAGGCCCUGCUUUUGUGGGGUGCUCGAGUGGAGAAGGGGGGAAUAACACGUGAGUAACCUGCCCUUGACUUGGGGAUAACUUGAGGAAAGGGGGGCUAAUAGCGGAUAGGAGCUCCUGCUGCGUGGGGGGGGGUGAAAAGUUUCGGCGGUUGGGGAUGGACUCGCGGCUUAUCAGCUUGUUGGUGGGGUAGUGGCUUACCAAGGCUUUGACGGGUAGCCGGCCUGAGAGGGUGACCGGCCACAUUGGGACUGAGAUACGGCCCAGACUCCUACGGGAGGCAGCAGUGGGGAAUAUUGCACAAUGGGCGGAAGCCUGAUGCAGCAACGCCGCGUGCGGGAUGACGGCCUUCGGGUUGUAAACCGCUUUCGCCUGUGACGAAGCGUGAGUGACGGUAAUGGGUAAAGAAGCACCGGCUAACAACGUG